GACCUGCUGGUGAAUGGUUCACACCCACUUUCUUUAGCAACCAGUAACAAAUGUAAGGUGGGAGUCCCCGGUUCGAUUCCGGGCCAGGUCA